GGGGGAAACCCUGAUGCAGCCAUGCCGCGUGUGUGAAGAAGGCCUUCGGGUUGUAAAGCACUUUCAGUAGGGAGGAAGGUAGUGUAGUUAACACCUGCAUUAUUUGACGUUACCUACAGAAGAAGCACCGGCUAACUCCGUGCCAGCAGCCGCGGUAAUACGGAGGGUGCGAGCGUUAAUCGGAAUUACUGGGCGUAAAGCGCAUGCAGGCGGCCUGUUAAGUCAGAUGUGAAAGCCCGGGGCUUAACCUCGGAAUUGCAUUUGAAACUGGCAGGCUAGAGUCUUGUAGAGGGGGUAGAAUUUCAGGUGUAGCGGUGAAAUGCGUAGAGAUCUGAAGGAAUACCAGUGGCGAAGGCGGCCCCCUGGACAAAGACUGACGCUCAGAUGCGAAAGCGUGGGGAGCAAACAGGAUUAGAUACCCUGGUAG
rnacentral:rRNA from 1 species